UAAUUCUUUAUCGAAUGCGUAACUGGUCAUGUUAUCUAAUAGACGUUUCUCGUCAAGCAAAAUAUAACUGUUUAUGUUAUCUACCAGACGUACCUGCUCCAGUAAAAGGUAACUGUUCAUGCUAUCUACCAGACGUACCUGCUCCAGUGAAAGGUAACUGUUCAUGUUAUCUACCAGACGUACAUGCUCCAGUGAAAGGUAACUGUUUAUGCUAUCUACCAGACGUACCUGGUCCAGUGAAAGGUAACUGUUCAUGCUAUCUACCAGACGUACCUGCUCCAGUGAAAGGUAACUGUUCAUGUUAUCUACCAGACGUACCUGGUCCAGUGAAAGGUAACUGUUCAUACUAUCUACCAGACGUACCUGGUCCAGUGAAAGGUAACUGUUCAUACUAUCUACCAGACGUACCUGGUCCAGUGAAAGGUAACUGUUCAUGUUAUCUACCAGUGUUACCUUGUUGUACAGAGCAAGGAAACUGUUCAUGCUAUCUACCAGACGUACCUGCUCCAGUGAAAGGUAACUGUUCAUGUUAUCUACCAGACGUACCUGCUCCAGUGAAAGGUAACUGUUCAUGUUAUCUACCAGACGUACCUGCUCCAGUGAAAGGUAACUGUUCAUGUUAUCUACCAGACGUACCUGCUCCAGUCAAAGGUAACUGUUCAUGUUAUCUACCAAUGUUACCUUGUUGUACAGAGCAAGGAAACUGUUCAUGCUAUCUACCAGACGUACCUGGUCCAGUGAAAGGUAACUGUUCAUGCUAUCUACCAGACGUACCUGGUCCAGUGCAAGGUAACUGUUCAUGUUAU